UACAGAGGGUGCGAGCGUUACUCGGAAUUACUGGGCGUAAAGCGCACGUAGGCGGCUUUGCAAGUCGGGUGUGAAAUCCCCAGGCUUAACCUGGGAACUGCAUUCGAGACUGCAUUGCUAGAGUAUGGGAGAGGGAAGUGGAAUUUCCGGUGUAGCGGUGAAAUGCGUAGAUAUCGGAAGGAACAUCAGUGGCGAAAGCGACUUCCUGGACCAAUACUGACGCUCAUGUGCGAAAGCGUGGGGAGCAAACAGG
rnacentral:rRNA from 1 species